UGGGGAAUAUUGCACAAUGGGCGCAAGCCUGAUGCAGCGACGCCGCGUGCGGGAUGGAGGCCUUCGGGUUGUAAACCGCUUUUGUUCAAGGGCAAGGCAGGCUUUCGGGCCUGUUGA
rnacentral:rRNA from 1 species